rnacentral:rRNA from 1 species
AUGCAAUACCGUGAGGUGGAGCGAACCCCUAAAAAUACGUCCCAGUUCAGAUUGCAGUCUGCAACUCGACUGCAUGAAGUCGGAAUCGCUAGUAAUCGCGGAUUAGCAUGCCGCGGUGAAUACGUUCCCGGGCCUUGUACACACCGCCCGUCACACCAUGAGAGUCGGGAACACCCGAAGUCCGUAGCCUAACCGCAAGGGGGGCGCGGCCGAAGGUGGGUUCGAUAAUUGGGGUGAAGUCGUAACAAGGUAGC